rnacentral:rRNA from 1 species
GAUGAACGCUGGCGGCGUGCCUAAUACAUGCAAGUCGAGCGAACGGACGAGAAGCUUGCUUCUCUGAUGUUAGCGGCGGACGGGUGAGUAAAACGUGGAUAACCUACCUAUAAGACUGGGAUAACUUCGGGAAACCGGAGCUAAUACCGGAUAAUAUUUUGAACCGCAUGGUUCAAAAGUGAAAGACGGUCUUGCUGUCACUUAUAGAUGGAUCCGCGCUGCAUUAGCUAGUUGGUAAGGUAACGGCUUACCAAGGCAACGAUGCAUAGCCGACCUGAGAGGGUGAUCGGCCACACUGGAACUGAGACACGGUCCAGACUCCUACGGGAGGCAGCAGUAGGGAAUCUUCCGCAAUGGGCGAAAGCCUGACGGAGCAACGCCGCGUGAGUGAUGAAGGUCCUCGGAUCGUAAAACUCUGUUAUUAGGGAAGAACAUAUGUGUAAGUAACUGUGCACAUCUUGACGGUACCUAAUCAGAAAGCCACGGCUAACUACGUG